UACAGAGGGGGCAAGCGUUGUUCGGAAUUACUGGGCGUAAAGGGCGCGUAGGCGGCCUGCUAAGUCGAACGUGAAAUCCCCGGGCUCAACCCGGGAACUGCGUCCGAUACUGGUAGGCUUGAAUUCGGGAGAGGGAUGCGGAAUUCUAGGUGUAGCGGUGAAAUGCGUAGAUAUCUGGAGGAACACCGGUGGCGAAGGCGGCAUCCUGGACCGACAUUGACGCUGAGGCGCGAAAGCCAGGGGAGCAAACGGG
rnacentral:rRNA from 1 species